rnacentral:rRNA from 1 species
UUAGCGGCGGACGGGUGAGUAACACGUAGGCAACCUGCCCUCAAGUUUGGGACAACUACCGGAAACGGUACUAAUACCGAAUAAUUGUUUUCUUCGCCUGAAGGAAACUGGAAAGACGGAGCAAUCUGUCACUUGGGGAUGGGCCUGCGGCGCAUUAGCUAGUUGGUGAGGUAACGGCUCACCAAGGCGACGAUGCGUAGCCGACCUGAGAGGGUGAUCGGCCACACUGGGACUGAGACACGGCCCAGACUCCUACGGGAGGCAGCAGUAGGGAAUCUUCCGCAAUGGGCGAAAGCCUGACGGAGCAAUGCCGCGUGAGUGAUGAAGGUUUUCGGAUCGUAAAGCUCUGUUGCCAGGGAAGAACGCUUGGGAGAGUAACUGCUUCAAGGUGACGGUACCUGAGAAGAAAGCCCCGGCUAACUACGUGCCAGCAGCCGCGGUAAUACGUAGGGGGCAAGCGUUGUCCGGAAUUAUUGGGCGUAAAGCGCGCGCAGGCGGUCAUUUAAGUCUGGUGUUUAAUCCCGGGGCUCAACCCCGGAUCGCACUGGAAACUGGGUGACUUGAGUGCAGAAGAGGAGAGUGGAAUUCCACGUGUAGCGGUGAAAUGCGUAGAUAUGUGGAGGAACACCAGUGGCGAAGGCGACUCUCUGGGCUGUAACUGACGCUGAGGCGCGAAAGCGUGGGG